rnacentral:rRNA from 1 species
UAGGGAAUCUUCGGCAAUGGGGGCAACCCUGACCGAGCAACGCCGCGUGAGUGAAGAAGGUUUUCGGAUCGUAAAGCUCUGUUGUAAGAGAAGAACGUGUGUGAGAGUGGAAAGUUCACACAGUGACGGUAACUUACCAGAAAGGGACGGCUAACUACGUGCCAGCAGCCGGGGUAAUACGUAGGUCCCGAGCGUUGUCCGGAUUUAUUGGGCGUAAAGCGAGCGCAGGCGGUUUAAGAAGUCUGAAGUGAAAGGCAGUGGCUUAACCAUUGUUCGCUUUGGAAACUGUUAGAGUUGAGUGCAGAAGGGGAGGGUGGAAUUCCAUGUGUAGCGGUGAAAUGCGUAGAUAUAUGGAGGAACACCGGUGGCGAAAGCGGCUCUCUGGUCUGUAACUGACGCUGAGGCUCGAAAGCGUGGGGAGCAAACAGG